CAGACAUGCGUCCUAAUGUGCACUGAACAAUAAUAAUCGUAAAAACAAUAAGGCAUGCUGCAACCAACGACAACUACUUGACGACAGAAACACAAAUUAUGUUGCAAAGUUAAACAUUUUUGUAAACGCUUAAAACUCAUUCAUGUAAAAGAAGGACGAAAGGUACCAGAGGGACAGUCAAUAGUAAUAGUUGUGUGUAGCAACACUUAAUAAUUAGCAAAUGCAUGUACGUUGUUUUUAAUAUUUUAGGGAAAGCAUUUCCAAAAUGAAAAAUACAACACUUUUUGGAGCAAUUUUUGUUUUACUUCUGAUAUUUUCGUGUG
rnacentral:lncRNA from 1 species